rnacentral:misc_RNA from 1 species
AAUUUUUAAAUUGACCAGCUUACAUUGCAAUUCCCCGUUGCGAGAAACAAAAUUUACCUGGUGAGUGACAGGGUUCAUUUCAGAUUCUGAUGGACGGAUUCCCCUAGAAAAGCAGCCUCUACCUCUCAUCUCAGUGACCUCUCGCCUCUCAUCGGCUCUUUUCACUUUUCUCCCUUCGUUCCUCGGUUCUCUUCCAUCCAUCAGAGCCUCACGUGGUCAUGCCAACUUCUCACGCUCCCUUGCAAGCUCGCGGAUCCAGUCUCGUCAUUCUCUCGUCGCUGCUUCCUUCUCUCUGGC